AUUGAACGCUGGCGGCAGGCCUAACACAUGCAAGUCGAGCGGGGUUUUCGGACCUAGCGGCGGACGGGUGAGUAAUGCGUAGGAAGCUGCCCGAUAGAGGGGGAUACCAGUUGGAAACGACUGUUAAUACCGCAUAAUGUCUACGGACCAAAGUGGGGGACCUUCGGGCCACAUGCUAUCGGAUGCGCCCACGUGGGAUUAGCUAGUUGGUGAGGUAAUGGCUCGCCAAGGCGGCGAUCUCUAGCUGGUUUGAGAGGAAUGAUCAGCCACACUGGAACUGAGACACGGUCCAGACUCCUACGGGAGGCAGCAGUGGGGAAUAUUGGACAAUGGGCGCAAGCCUGAUCCAGCCAUGCCGCGUGUGUGAAAAAGGCCUUCGGGUUGUAAAGCACUUUCAGCGAGGAGGAAGGGGUGUGUGUUAAUAGUACACACCUUUGACGUUACUCGCAGAAGAAGCACCGGCUAACUCUGUGCCAGCAGCCGCCGUAAAAC
rnacentral:rRNA from 1 species